UAAGGUUUUAAACCCUAAACUGAAUUUUUUUUCAUUCAGCCAGCAUUAGGGUUUUAAGCCCUAAACAGAGCUUUUCCUUUCAGCCAGCAUUAGGGUUUUAAACCCUAAACUGAGCUUUUCCAUGCAAUCAGCAUUAGGGUUUUAAACCCUAAACUGAAUUUUUCCUUUAGUCAGCAUUAGGGUUUUAAACCCUAAACUAAACUUUUUUCCCAUUCAGCCAGCAUUAGGGUUUUAAACCCUAAACUGAGCUUUUCCAUGCAAUCAGCAUUAGGGUUUUAAACCCUAAACUGAAUUUUUUCCAUUCGGCCAGCAUUAGGGUUUUAAACCCUAAACUGAGCUUUUCCAUUCAGCCAGCAUUAGGGUUUUAAACCCUAAACUGAGCUUUUCCAUUCAGCCAGCAUUAGGAUUUUAAACCCUAAACUGAGCUUUUCCAUUCAGCCAGCAUUAGGGUUUUAAACCCUAAACUGAGCUUUUCCUUUCAGCCAGCAUUAGGGUUUUAAACCCUAAACUGAGCUUUUUCAUGCAAUCAACAUUAGGGUUUUAAACCCUAAACUGAAUUUUUCCUUUAGUCAGCAUUAAGGUUUUAAACCCUAAACUAAACUUUUUCCUUUAGUCAGCAUUAGGGUUUUAAACCCUAAACUGAAUUUUCCAUUCAGCCAGCAUUAGGGUUUUAAACCCUAAACUGAGCUUUUCCAUGCAAUCAGCAUUAGAGUUUUAAACCCUAAACUGAAUUUUUUCCAUUCAGCCAGCAUUAGGGUUUUAAACCCUAAACUGAGCUUUUCCAUGCAGUCAACAUUAGGGUUUUAAACCCUAAACUGAAUUUUUCCUUUAGUCAGCAGUAGGGUUUUAAACCCUAAACUGAACUUUUUCCUUUAGUCAGCAUUAGGGUUUUAAACCCUAAACUGAAUUUUCCAUUCAGCCAGCAUUAGGGUUUUAAACCCUAAACUGAGCUUUUCCAUGCAAUCAGCAUUAGGGUUUUAAACCCUAAACUGAAUUUUUU
rnacentral:lncRNA from 1 species